CACAAUACAAGCAUUAGACAGGGAGGCGUCUUUUGUUACAAUGCACUGCACUGUGAUAAUCCAUCACACUAUUUGACCAACCACAGGCUAGAAUAUACAAGUAGAAUGGCCAAUGAUCUUGCCAUGUGCGAACAGCUCUUCCAUUCCCCCAUUCACUCACCAGCACGUGACCAAACUUUCUGGCACAGCUGCAUUUCAAGAUGGCUCCAUUCAUGGGGGACAUGUGAUCACAGUGAAGUUAUAUUAAAUCUUGACAGCAUGAGAGAGACUGACAAAUUUCUGAGAGGUUUCAAGGACUCAUCAACCAGGAUCCCCCCGAAGUGCUGGUGAGGAUGAGGUGA